rnacentral:rRNA from 1 species
GACGGUACCUAGAUAAGAAGCACCGGCUAACUACGUGCCAGCAGCCGCGGUAAUACGUAGGGUGCGAGCGUUGUCCGGAAUUACUGGGCGUAAAGAGCUCGUAGGUGGUUUGUCGCGUCGUCUGUGAAAUUCCGGGGCUUAACUUCGGGCGUGCAGGCGAUACGGGCAUAACUUGAGUGCUGUAGGGGAGACUGGAAUUCCUGGUGUAGCGGUGGAAUGCGCAGAUAUCAGGAGGAACACCGAUGGCGAAGGCAGGUCUCUGGGCAGUAACUGACGCUGAGGAGCGAAAGCAUGGGGAGCGAACAGGAUUAGAUACCCUGGUAGUCCAUGCCGUAAACGGUGGGCGCUAGGUGUGAGGGUCUUCCACGACUUUCGUGCCGUAGCUAACGCAUUAAGCGCCCCCCCUGGGGAGUACGGCCGCAAGGCUAAAACUCAAAGGAAUUGACGGGGGCCCGCACAAGCGGCGGAGCAUGUGGAUUAAUUCGAUGCAACGCGAAGAACCUUACCUGGGCUUGACAUAUGCAGGAUCGGCGUAGUGAUACGUUUUCCCUUGUGGUCUGUAUACAGGUGGUGCAUGGUUGUCGUCAGCUCGUGUCGUGAGAUGUUGGGUUAAGUCCCGCAACGAGCGCAACCCUUGUCUUAUGUUGCCAGCACGUGAUGGUGGGGACUCAUGAGAGACUGCCGGGGUUAACUCGGAGGAAGGUGGGGAUGACGUCAAAUCAUCAUGCCCCUUAUGUCCAGGGCUUCACACAUGCUACAAUGGUCGGUACAACGCGCUGCGAGCCUGUGAGGGUGAGCGAAUCGCUGAAACCCGGCCUCAGUUCGGAUUGGGGUCUGCAACUCGACCCCAUGAAGUCGGAGUCGCUAGUAAUCCCAGAUCAGCAACGCUCCGGUGAAUACGUUCCCGGCCCUUGUACACACCGCCCGUCACGUCAUGAAAGUCGGUACCCCCCGAA